CAUUUCAAAUUUUUUGCAUCAUAAUAAAGUCAUAAUAACUCAUUAUAACAUUUUUGAACAGCAUCUAGUUUGAGACACUAAGAAGGAUCAGACAUCAGUUUGAAAACCACUGCUCAAUGAAAUAAAAGAGGAUACAAACAAUACGAUUAUGGAUGCUAGAAAGGUACUUAAUACAAUUAAAAACACAUUUUUGUUUAAAACAAUUUUUGAAUGAAGUAGGUGUAGACAUAUAUUUUCUUAAUAUGAUUAAGGAAUAAAAAAAGGGAGCCUUUGGUUAUCUACUUCAACAUAGAUGUUCAUGCUGAGAAUUUGCAAACUUGAACACUCUCAAUAUUCUGAUCAACUGCAAUCUUUAACACUCUCCUAGACCCAUCUAAUUGUGCAAGGGCCUGCUUAGGAACAUGUGCUCUCAGAGACAGGAAGGCUGCCAUUUACUAGCUGUGUGACCUCGGACGAGGUACUUCACCUCUUUAUUCCUCCAUUUCCUUAUCUACAAAGUGGGACUCAUAAUAGUAACUAUCCAAUAGAGUUAUUUUGAGGAUUAAAUGCAUUAAAACAUGUAAUGUGCUUGGAAAAAUACCUGGUAGGCAUAUAGUAAAUGCUAUACGAGUGUUUGAUUAUUACUAUUGCUACUAUUUACAUUAUAGAUGAUAAACAAGUAUUGUUUAAACAGUCCAUUGCUUUGAAAUAUUUACAGGUAUAAAGAAGAAAACACU
rnacentral:lncRNA from 1 species